rnacentral:rRNA from 1 species
GACGAACGCUGGCGGCGUGCUUAACACAUGCAAGUCGAGCGGAAAGGCCCUUCGGGGUACUCGAGCGGCGAACGGGUGAGUGACACGUGAGUAACCGUCCCCAGACUUUGGGAUAACCCUCGGAUACGGGGGCUAAUACCGGAUACGACACAGCUUCGCAUGGGGUCUGUGUGGAAAGGUAUGCGGUGUGGGAUGGGCUCGCGGCCUAGCAGCUUGUUGGUGGGGUGGUGGCCUACCAAGGCGAAGGCGGGUAGCCGGCCUGAGAGGGUGACCGGCCACACUGGGACUGAGACACGGCCCAGACUCCUACGGGAGGCAGCAGUGGGGAAUAUUGCACAAUGGGCGGAAGCCUGAUGCAGCGACGCCGCGUGCGGGAUGACGGCCUUCGGGUUGUAAACCUCUUUCGGCUGGGACGAAGCGUAAGUGACGGUACCUGCAGAAGAAGCACCGGCCAACUACGUG